rnacentral:rRNA from 1 species
UAGGGAAUCUUCGGCAAUGGGGGGAACCCUGACCGAGCAACGCCGCGUGAGUGAAGAAGGUUUUCGGAUCGUAAAGCUCUGUUGUUAAGGAAGAACGAGUGUGAGAAUGGAAAGUUCAUGCUGUGACGGUACUUAACCCGAAAGGGACGGCUAACUACGUGCCAGCAGCCGCGGUAAUACGUAGGUCCCGAGCGUUGUCCGGAUUUAUUGGGCGUAAAGCGAGCGCAGGCGGUUAGAAAAGUCUGAAGUGAAAGGCAGUGGCUCAACCAUUGUAGGCUUUGGAAACUGUUUAACUUGAGUGCAGAAGGGGAGAGUGGAAUUCCAUGUGUAGCGGUGAAAUGCGUAGAUAUAUGGAGGAACACCGGUGGCGAAAGCGGCUCUCUGGCCUGUAACUGACGCUGAGGCUCGAAAGCGUGGGGAGCGAACAGG